UACGUAGGUUGCGAGCGUUGUCCGGAUUUACUGGGUGUAAAGGGAGCGUAGACGGCGAUGCAAGUCAGAAGUGAAAGCCCGCGGCUCAACUGCGGGACUGCUUUUGAAACUGUAUAGCUUGAGUGCAGGAGAGGUAAGCGGAAUUCCUAGUGUAGCGGUGAAAUGCGUAGAUAUUAGGAGGAACACCAGUGGCGAAGGCGGCUUACUGGACUGUAACUGACGUUGAGGCUCGAAAGCGUGGGGAGCAAACAGG
rnacentral:rRNA from 1 species